rnacentral:lncRNA from 1 species
AUAUACUACAGACUCAUGAUAAGUUAAGAUUUGGUAAUAUAGAAUUACUUUGUUUUCCUAAUAGUAAUAUUAGUUUUAAGACACUUUCUCAUAUUUCAGUUACAAAAGCAGAAAAAUGUAUUUUAGACAAUUUAUGGAUUUCUUACAAUAAGAAUCCAAAAGACCAAAAAUAUUUUUUAGCAUGUUUAAAUGCUCUUUCAGAACAUUUUAGUCAAGAUCAUAAGCAAUUUAAAUGUUAUGUUGUUUUAAAUGGAAGACUCCCAGGAAUAUAUCAUACCUGGUUAGAAGUUUCAGAUUGUAUUAAGAAUUUUCCAAAUCCUUUUUACAAAGGAUUUUAUUCAAUUUCAGAAGCAUUAGAAGAAUGUAGAAAAUUUAUAGGUGCAAAUUAUUUUAUUGCUCCUUCUUUAAAAAAUGUUUCAGAUCAACCUUUAGAUUAUUCUUCAAGAUUUUGUGAUCAUUGUGAAUGUAUGACAAAGAAUUUUAAGAUUUUAAAUGAAUCAAACCAGACUUUACAACAAGAAAAAUUAAUUUUACAACAGAAAAUCUCUGAUUUAGAACAAGAGAUUAUUAAUUUAAAAAUUUUUAAUCCAAUUGUUCAGACAGAAGCAGGUACUAUAGAGCCCAAGAAUUCUAUAGCUAGUCCAGCUCAAACGGAAGCUGGUAAAGACUUAUCAAAUCCGUUGAUGGUUAUGGGUUUACCAAAAACUCAACAGACUCAGAGGACUGUUGAUUCCUCUACUUCUCAGACUCAACAGGCUGAAAAUCCUGUUACAUUUAAUUCAGAAGAACAGAUACAGCAGACUGAUAAUUCUAUUACUAGACUUGUUAGUCCAAUAGACCUUAAACAGAAAAGCCCAAUUAAUUUUCUAGGAUCAUUCCAAUCAGCUCAGGAUCCAGAAAAGAUUUCUCAAUCAGACAUUAGAAAGAUCAAAGAAAUGUUUGAAAAGAUUGAGGAGAUUCAGCAACAAGUUAAACAAAGUACUACGAAGAAAAAGAAACUACAAAUUAAAAAGAAAAAUAAAGGAAAAAAGAAGAUUGAACAAGA